UGUCGUCAGCUCGUGUUGUGAAAUGUUGGGUUAAGUCCCGCAACGAGCGCAACCCUUAUCCUUUGUUGCCAGCGGUCCGGCCGGGAACUCAAAGGAGACUGCCAGUGAUAAACUGGAGGAAGGUGGGGAUGACGUCAAGUCAUCAUGGCCCUUACGACCAGGGCUACACACGUGCUACAAUGGCGCAUACAAAGAGAAGCGACCUCGCGAGAGCAAGCGGACCUCAUAAAGUGCGUCGUAGUCCGGAUUGGAGUCUGCAACUCGACUCCAUGAAGUCGGAAUCGCUAGUAAUCGUGGAUCAGAAUGCCACGGUGAAUACGUUCCCGGGCCUUGUACACACCGCCCGUCACACCAUGGGAGUGGGUUGCAAAAGAAGUAGGUAGCUUAACCUUCGGGAGGGCGCUUACCACUUUGUGAUUCAUGACUGGGGUGAAGUCGUAACAAGGUAACCGUAGGGGAACCUGCGGUUGGAUCACCUCCUUACCUUAAAGAAGC
rnacentral:rRNA from 13 species